CAACCUGCCGAUAACUCGGGGAUAGCCUUUCGAAAGAAAGAUUAAUAUCCGAUAGUAUAUUAAAACCGCAUGGUUUUACUAUUAAAGAAUUUCGGUUAUCGAUGGGGAUGCGUUCCAUUAGUUUGUUGGCGGGGUAACGGCCCACCAAGACUACGAUGGAUAGGGGUUCUGAGAGGAAGGUCCCCCACAUUGGAACUGAGACACGGUCCAAACUCCUACGGGAGGCAGCAGUGAGGAAUAUUGGUCAAUGGACGAGAGUCUGAACCAGCCAAGUAGCGUGAAGGAUGACUGCCCUAUGGGUUGUAAACUUCUUUUAUAAAGGAAUAAAGUCGGGUAUGCAUACCCGUUUGCAUGUACUUUAUGAAUAAGGAUCGGCUAACUCCGUGCCAGCAGCCGCGGUAAUACGGAGGAUCCGAGCGUUAUCCGGAUUUAUUGGGUUUAAAGGGAGCGUAGAUGGAUGUUUAAGUCAGUUGUGAAAGUUUGCGGCUCAACCGUAAAAUUGCAGUUGACACUGGAUAUCUUGAGUGCAGUUGAGGCAGGCGGAAUUCGUGGUGUAGCGGUGAAAUGCUUAGAUAUCACGAAGAACUCCGAUUG
rnacentral:rRNA from 1 species